GAUGAACGCUAGCUACAGGCUUAACACAUGCAAGUCGAGGGGAAACGGCAUUAAGUGCUUGCACUUUUUGGACGUCGACCGGCGCACGGGUGAGUAACGCGUAUCCAACCUUCCCAUGACUAAGGGAUAACCUGCCGAAAGGCAGACUAAUACCUUAUGGUCUUCACUGACGGCAUCAGAUGUGAAGUAAAGAUUUAUCGGUUAUGGAUGGGGAUGCGUCUGAUUAGUUAGUUGGCGGGGUAACGGCCCACCAAGGCAACGAUCAGUAGGGGUUCUGAGAGGAAGGUCCCCCACAUUGGAACUGAGACACGGUCCAAACUCCUACGGGAGGCAGCAGUGAGGAAUAUUGGUCAAUGGGCGAGAGCCUGAACCAGCCAAGUAGCGUGCAGGACGACGGCCCUAUGGGUUGUAAACUGCUUUUGUAUGGGGAUAAAGUCAAUCACGUGUGAUUGUUUGCAGGUACCAUACGAAUAAGGACCGGCUAAUUCCGUGCCAGCAGCCGCGGUAAUACGGAAGGUCCGGGCGUUAUCCGGAUUUAUUGGGUUUAAAGGGAGCGUAGGCUGGAGAUUAAGUGUGUUGUGAAAUGUAGACGCUCAACGUCUGACUUGCAGCGCAUACUGGUUUCCUUGAGUACGCACAACGUUGGCGGAAUUCGUCGUGUAGCGGUGAAAUGCUUAGAUAUGACGAAGAACUCCGAUUGCGAAGCAGCUGACGGGAGCGCAACUGACGCUGAAGCUCGAAGGUGCGGGUAUCGAACAGG
rnacentral:rRNA from 1 species